UCCAGACUGCAAGGGUCCACUGGGAGAACACAAGCAGCUUGGGGAGACAUGGCAAUCCAACUGUCAGGUGUGUACGUGUAGCAACCAAACCAAGACAGAGGAGUGUCAACCUAAACCCCCCUCCCCCCCACCUCUCUGCAGUCAGAACUCAGUCCUGGUCACCGGCUGCUGUGGCAAACAGACCUGUGUUGAGAAGACAUGUAACUAUGACGGAAGGACCUACAAAGUGGGAGACAGAUGGACAGACCUUGCCCUGCCCUGUGAGUCCUAUAGCUGUACCAGAGAAGGCACUCAGACAGUGAGAAGGGUGUGUCCCCAUCAGAACUGCUCAGAGGAGGACAGAGUAUGGGACGAACAACAUUGCUGCUACACAUGUAA